rnacentral:lncRNA from 1 species
GAGGACAACACGUGCUUGUUGGAGGCGACUCGAGCGAUGCAGGUCAGCGGCGAACUAGGUGCUCCACUCUUUCUCUCCCACACUUCCUUCCUCACUCAUAUUUUACUUUGCUAAUUUUUGGAUUUUUAAACUUGGCAUGUGCAGAUCUGACAUAGAAGACCACGUUCCUCAUAUUCAAAAGUGAUCUUGUUCCAAUGGCUCUAAUGGUAAUUUAUAACCUCUUUUGAUGUACCGCAAUUGUGUCAAGUUUGCUGACAUCCUCGUGCUGCAACUGGCUUGGUAUAUUUGGUUAAUCGUAACCAGCAAGCUUCGUCGGCCGUCUGAUCUGCCUUUCUGACGUGUCUAAGCCGUUGAAUCUUCACUUGCAGUUAAAUUAUUUUCACCCUACAGUUUAUUUUUCUUCCCGAAUGACUGGUGGACUCGUCUCGUGUCUGUAUUGGGUGGGUAAGCGGCGCCCGGGUGAGAGAGAAUUUGUCCCAUCCGCGCGCCGCGCCCGCACCCAACGCAACCCAAUCCUCUCGUCCCGCACGCCGUGCACACUCCGGUCCCCUCAUCCUGCAUGAAACCUAGGAGAGAGAGAUAGGAAGAUGAGAGGGAGAGAAAGGGGAGAGGAGAGGAGAGGGAGGUCCGGCAGCGGACGGGAGAGGGUGACCGGCCAGCGUCGGCCUACACCGGCGAGGCGUCGGCCUGCGCCCCUCCUCGCGCACGAACCCUAGCUGAGAGACAAAAUGAGGGGGAGAGAGAGAAGGAAGGAGAGGAGGGAGAAAGAGAGAGGAAAGAGGAAAGGGAGGUGCGGCGGCUGACAGGAGAGAGGGUCAUCGGCCGGCGCUGGAGAGGACGGUCCCGACCUGGACGCGACUUGGAGGUUGGCGCCCUUUGUCCAUCCCCUCUAUCCCCACGAGCCGCCGCGCCCCUCCCUCUCCCCCUCAUCCUCUCACCGCAGCCGCCGGCCUUCUCUCCACUCGCCUCCUCCUCUCCUCUAUCACGUUGUCGUCGAUCCACCGCCGGCAUUCUCCUCAGCUUGCCUAGGUCAUCGUCAUGGGAGAGCAGCGACGGCGGUGUCUUCGCGGUGCGGAUGGGGAUGUAGGGGAGGGGUGGGGAUGUACGGGAAGGAGGAAGCCGGUGAGGAAGGCAAGCAACAGCGGGGAAUGAGCUAGGUGAGCGAUCCUAGCGGGUGGGAAGGGGCAGGUUGAGGCCUCGCGCACCUGCCAGCGGCAGGCAGGUCGAAUUGUCGCGCCACCGCGUCGUCGCCUCCUCUGCACCAUGAGGUGCCACCUCUGCCUCCACCCCCCACCGGGCAAGGAGCUCAAGGUGAAUAGGCGGUGGGAAGGUGAGAGGAAGCAGGAGCUCAUCUCUCCUCCAAUGGCUGCCUCGUGCAUCUGGAGGACAACACGUGCUUGUUGGAGGCGACUCGAGCGAUGCAGGUCAGCGGCGAACUAGGUGCUCCACUCUUUCUCUCCCUCACUUCCUUCCUCACUCAUAUUUUACCCUGCUAAUUUUUGGAUUUUUAAACUUGGCGUGUGCAGAUCUGACAUAGAAGACCACGUUCCUCAUAUUCAAAAGUGAUCUUCUUCCAAUGGCUCUAAUGGUAAUUUAUAACCUCUUUUGAUGUACCGCAGUUGUGUCAAGUUUGCUGACAUCCUCGUGCUGCAACUGGCUUGGUAUAUUUGGUUAAUCGUAACCAGCAAAGAGGAGGAGUCACAUACAUGCGCACCUGCCAGCGGCAGGCAGGUCGAAUUGUCGCGCCACCGCAUCGUCGCCUCCUCUGCACCAUGAGGUGCCACCUCUGCCUCCACCCCCCACCGGGCAAGGAGCUCGAGGUGAAUAGGCGGUGGGAAGGUGAGAGGAAGCAGGAGCUCAUCUCUCCUCCAAUGGCUGCCUCGUGCAUCUGGAGGACAACACGUGCUUGUUGGAGGCGACUCGAGCGAUGCAGGUCAGCGGCGAACUAGGUGCUCCACUCUUUCUCUCCCUCACUUCCUUCCUCACUCAUAUUUUACUUUGCUAAUUUUUGGAUUUUUAAACUUGGCGUGUGCAGAUCUGACAUCGAAGACCACGUUCCUCAUAUUCAAAAGUGAUCUUCUUCCAAUGGCUCUAAUGGUAAUUUAUAACCUCUUUUGAUGUACCGCAGUUGUGUCAAGUUUGCUGACAUCCUCGUGCUGCAACUGGCUUGGUAUAUUUGGUUAAUCGUAACCAGCAAAGAGGAGGAGUCUCAUACAUGCCUGCUAUUCUUUAUGUGGUUGUAUGAAGUGUACCUUCAACUAAUCAAGCAACCUGGCAUUAGUAGUUUGUUUAAUUAAUAUCACUCUCAUCAAAGAGUAUGAUAUCAUUUAGCUAGCCUCCUUUCUUUGUAAGAGGGAUAGUGUAAAGGUUAGAAAUGGGUAACGGAAUGAGUGUUCUCAUUUUUACUGCCCCUGGAUUUAGGGAAUAUAUAUGCGUAUAUAUUGAUGCUCAUCGUUGCCAUGUCUGGCUCUUCAGGUGCAUGCUAGCUAGAAGUUCAGAUUUGUAAUCAACGAGUGUAAAAUUGAUUGUCUCUGGUUACUCUCGUGAUCUGUAUCUAGAGGGCAAGUCAGGUCUUGGAAUGCUGAGGUGAGACUUUCCAUGGCCUCUGUUUUUCUUGAUGGGUGGAUUACACAUUACUUCCUUGGAUGUUUAAAGAUUAUUAUAUCAUUGCUCCCCUUUUUAUCGGCAAGCAUUCUCUCAUCUUCUGGUAACUUGAGUAAGAUGCAACACACUAAUGCUUUCUUAGUCUGGUUUGUUGCAAAAAAUAAUUGAAGUGUGCAGACAGGCAGCAUGGAAACACUAAAGAGAAGUUUCAUACGUACUAAUAGCUGGAGUGAUUUGAUACCUGUAGUAACCGUCUUAGAAUAAAUAAGAUUCAGCUAUUUCUAAAGAUAUUAGACCAUAAGAUUAUUCUUAAGUAAAGAUGUUUCAUGCUUCUGUUUCUGCAAAAUUUCUAAGAGUAUAUGAUUUCAUUUUCCUUCUUUCCCAGUUAUAAAUUUAUUGGCAUCAAAGUAGAGCUUCAGGUUUAUGGUUCAGUAUAUCAUUGCAAAGUAGUUUAUGGCUCAGUAUAUCACUACAGGUUCCUUACACUCUCAAAUUUCAAUGUUUUUGUAUUUUUGUCGAUGGAACCAUGUUCUUUGACUAUAAAGUAGCAGAGAUUUCUUUUCUAUCAAUUCUAAUCCCUUUUUAUGCAUUGCUGGUUUGCUAUCAAACUCUCAAAAAUGGAAAAACAACUUUACUUUGGUUUUUUGAGAACCUUCCUGUAGAGUACCUCGACAGAGACAAAUAUGCGGUCAAGGAUAUAUUCGAUGGAUUUUCAUGCCAAACUUGGAGGAUAUUUUUGCAGGUUCGUUGCUUGCAUUAUUGUUUUCUUACUUUCUGUUCUUCAAGACAAUAUCUUCCUAGCAUUGCUCUAUAAAUUUAAAUCCAUCUUUUUGUUCUUUGGAUUAUCAUGGCGUACUCAUCCUGUGUAAUCCAAGCAAGGGCCUUCAUGUUUGCAGAUAGUUUGGUACUCUCGUGGUUAUUUUUGUGGUGAUUUGCCUUCUAUUCAUUACUUGGUAACCAUCUACUGCAGGUCAGCUAUUGUCCAGCUGCUAACCUUAUGGUGAGUGGUUGAUGGUGCAUGUUUUCCUAUUAGUUUCUCUCUAUGCCAAUGUCUGAAUUUUAUCUUGCCGUUUUGCAUUUCUACAGGCCUUUCAUUCUCAUUGUGAUUCCCCGAGAUGCGCUAUUAGUAGGCAUCCACUUUCUAAUAAAAAUUUGGAAGUCAACUUGAAAAGAGUCAUUUAUCUAGCUACAGCAACCUUCCUUGCUUUUGCAAAUAAUACUUUAUGGUUGACAAUAUAGUCUACACCUGCCAAACAUUUACACGUUAGUAUAACCAGAAAGUCAGAUGAUCGUUCCAUGUUGGUUAGCCGUGAUAAAUCAAAUUUCUAGAGUAGCAGAUGAUUCGUGUCAGGUUUCUUUUAGAGAUUGAAAUAUGUCUUGACUCCGAAAUAAGUAGUACAACGUCCAGUUCUGCAUAGGUGAAAGCAUACUGUGCAAAACCGGACAGCCUUCUAAAGCUCUGAAACUACUAUUUGUUUUUGUUUUUUGCGGUUAACUACUACUUGUUGUGUGAUCAGUACCCCCUUUUUAUACUCUGUAUAUGCUUUCUACUUACUAGGAAAAAAUGCGUGAGAACGAUGGCCUAGAGGAUGUGAAUUGCACUCGAAUAUAUGCAGGUUUCUUGCCAAACUAACUGCCACUAUUAUAUUUCAGGUGCUUCUUCUGUAACUUAGUGUAUUUUCCUGGCUCUUCUCAUUUCCUGGCGAACUUUUUAGUAUGUACAGUUGAAUCGUUGGAAGUUGUUUUCUACUAUCUAUAGAGGUUUUAUCCAAACUAUUAGCUGCCUGACUUGCUUUUUCGAAAUACACCGUCCUGAUAGACAUUUCCAUGGGAUGUUAGAAAAAUAUAUGUGAAUUUGCAUACAUUUUAUAAAUUCCUAUCUUUACUUAUCCAUGCUUCCCCAUAGAUAAAUAGCAGGUUCAACAAAAAUGAAUGUUCUCUUUUGUUCAAAUUUCAAGAAAGUGUGCUUCACGCUUCUCUUUCUGCAAUAUGUUUCGGAGUGUAUGAUUUGAUUUUCCUACUUUCCCGGUUACAAUACUGUGUACUUCAUUCCUAGCUUUGCUUGAAAUAGGUAUGCAGGUUAUCGAAAGCUCCAUUUUUCUCCAUUAUAUAGAUUAUAUAGCUUUGUGAUCAAAGGUAGGUUGUCACACAGGGGAUUUGGCUUGUGAAAGUUAUAUACAUCCAUGAGUCCCUAACAAAAUAAUCGCAGCUCAUGUUAAAAGGAUCAGGGAACCUCGACCAUUUUUCUGAAACAUGUCUCAGCUCAUGUUCCGACUUUCUACACUACUAUGUACUUCAUUCUUACCUUUGCUUUUGGAAGUUACAUUCUUUCUUUUCCCUCGUAAACUUGCUAACGAUAUUGGCAAAGUAAUCCCCACUUCAUAUUUCCCAUUGAAUGAAUAACUAAUUUAGAUUGUUCAAAAAUUGUAGGUCAAGAGGCAUGAAUAGGAGCAGGGCAUCACACUCCAGCUCUGAGAAGGAAAGGAUAUGAAGACAAAGAUAUAUGAGUGUUGUGCUCCGACGCAAAAACAUUUUGCGUGUAAUAAUGAACUGUAAUUUACCACAAUCUCUCUACAACAGGCCUACCUAUUACCAUCCGUUGCUUGCUUUUGUAUUAGGAAGUAUGACUCAGUCAUAUAUAUUUACAUUCACGUUGUUUAGUUAUGGUUCGUAUGCAUGAACAUACCUUUUUAACCGAGCUUGAAAAUUCUUAUGUGUAGUGAAAUUGCAUCUAGCACUUUAGACAUCAUAAUCAUAAAUGGUUGCUAAAGAGUUUGAAUUGGUAAAGUGGUUGCAUCCGCUGUUACAGGUCUGGAAUGUUCCUCCAUGCUAAAACCUAAUUUAAUUUUGAAAACACUUUGUGUUUGAAAUUGACAUUGUGCUGUUUGGUGUAAUGGGCCAUUUGUGUAACCAUGCAUGCAGAGAAAUCAGAAAU